ACGGCGUCACACAAGUACAAGAUACAAGAUUUGCCAAACAGGAUACAAUCACACAUGCAUAUACACAUAAUCACACACCAUUCACAAUCAAAUCUAUAACCAGAGUUAUUCAUAAAUCCACAACUAUUAAUUUAAAAUGUUUCCUAUCGAGAAACUCGUUUUGAAAUACUAAGUCAUGAAAACCACCAUAAAACUUUUUAAAAUUGUUUUCCACACGGAAACCUUUUUCUUUAAAAACUCGCUACCACGAGGGGUAGAAAACCAUUUCCAGUCCACAGAAAUUCCUACUCCAUUAUUAUAUUCAUAAAACCAGAUGAAUUCAAAGUAAAAGCAACUGAACCAAAUAAGCUAUCUAAGACAUUUCUU
rnacentral:lncRNA from 1 species